rnacentral:rRNA from 1 species
AACGAACGCUGGCGGCAGGCUUAACACAUGCAAGUCGAACGCACUCUUCGGAGUGAGUGGCAGACGGGUGAGUAACGCGUGGGAACGUACCUUUCGGUUCGGAAUAACCCAGGGAAACUUGGGCUAAUACCGGAUGCGCCGGAAACGGGAAAGAUUUAUCGCCGAAAGAUCGGCCCGCGUCGGAUUAGCUAGUUGGUGGGGUAAAGGCCUACCAAGGCGACGAUCCGUAGCUGGUCUGAGAGGAUGAUCAGCCACACUGGGACUGAGACACGGCCCAGACUCCUACGGGAGGCAGCAGUGGGGAAUAUUGGACAAUGGGCGAAAGCCUGAUCCAGCCAUGCCGCGUGAGUGAAGAAGGCCUUAGGGUUGUAAAGCUCUUUCAGCGGGGACGAUAAUGACGGUACCCGCAGAAGAAGCCCCGGCUAACUUCGUGCCAG